rnacentral:rRNA from 1 species
UACAGAGGUCUCAAGCGUUGUUCGGAAUUACUGGGCGUAAAGGGUGCGUAGGUUGCGUUAUAUGUCCUAAUGUAAAAUCUUCGAGCUUAACUCGAAAGCAGCAUUGGAAACUGUAGCGAUAGAGUGCUGGAGAAGAGGUUGGAAUUUUCGGUGUAGCAGUGAAAUGCGUAGAUAUCGAAAGGAACAUCAGUGGCGAAAGCGAACCUCUAAACAGUUACUGACACUGAGGCACGAAAGCUAGGGGAUCAAACAGG